CCUACGGGUGGCUGCAGUGAGGAAUAUUGGUCAAUGGCCGAGAGGCUGAACCAGCCAAGUCGCGUGAGGGAUGACGGCCCUACGGGUUGUAAACCUCUUUUGUCGGAGAGCAAAUAGAGUCACGUGUGGCUCAUUGAGAGUACCCGACGAAAAAGCAUCGGCUAACUCCGUGCCAGCAGCCGCGGUAAUACGGAGGAUGCGAGCGUUAUCCGGAUUUAUUGGGUUUAACGGGUGCGCAGUCGGAGGUGCAAGUCAGUGGUCAAAUUGGGGGCUCAAACCCGUAUUGACGUGGAAAUUGCUUCCCUAGAGUGCUGUUGAAGUAUGCGGAAUGCGUGGUGUAGCGGUGAAAUGCAUAGAGAUCACACAGAACUCCGAUUGCGAAGGCAGCAUACCAGCGCGCAACUGACGUUCAGGCACGAAAGCGUGGGUAUCGAACAGGAGUAGAUACCCGUGUAGUC
rnacentral:rRNA from 1 species